AUGGAUGAACUUUUGUUCAUCUUCAGAACACAAAUUAAGAUAUUUUUGAUCACAUCCGAUGGCUGAAUGAGGCCUCCAUUGACAGCAAUAAUAUUUUUGGUGCGCCAAAAAAACAAAAUAACGACUUAUAUAGUGAUGGACGAUUUCAAAACACUGCUUCAGAAAGCAUCAGAGCGUUUAUGAAUCAGUGUGUCGAAUCAUAAUUUGGAUCACGUUUCAAACUGCUGAAAUCACAUGACUUUGUGCUCCGAACUGCUGAUUCGACACGCUGAUUCGUUGCUGGCAAUGGAGGCCUCAUUGAGCCAUCGGAUGUAAUCGAAAAUGUCCUCAUUUGUAUUCUGAAUAUGAACGAAGGUCUUACGGGUGAGUAAUAAAUGACAUUAUUUUUGGGUGAACUAACCCUUUAACACUGUUUAUCAGACUUGUCAGAGACUCCAGGAUGAGACUGCAAGGCUAGCUGAACUAAAAACAGAGCUACAUUGCACAGAUGAAUUGGUGUCACAGUGACUCUCUGAUGUGAAGGAAUGGGCAGCUGAUGGUAAGCAUGACCAGAUAAAAGAAACAACAAAUGUCCUUUUCCACUACUAUCUGAAAUUUUUAAGUUUGAUAUUAAAGAGCAGCCAAAGAUAGUAGGCUCAUCAUCUAUGGAUUGCAACAGUUGGUGACAUCACCUUCCGCCAAAGACCAGCAAACUACAUGUCAUCAUCCUAUGUUAUGCCAUAUUUAUGUCUGGUUUUAUUUUAUAUUCCAGUUUCCCUGCAGGAAAUGCACGUACUAAGUUCAAUAAAGUUGUAUUAAAAGGAGUUUAUAUAUAAAUUUAAAUACUUAAACAGUUCUGUGUUUUUUAAACAUUGAUUUUGUUUUCACAAUUCUACAGAGACACUAGAUACAUCUCAUGCCAGCAGCACACACAGAGGACUUCAGCAGUCAAUUGAGGGGCUUUAUCUUAGUGUGAGGCAGCGGAAGCAAACCAUUUACUGCCAGAAUGACAGCAGCAAGCUUCGCCACCGCCCUCACAGGAAGCUGGCAGAAGACAAAAAGCUCCUUCUUCAGGAGACACAGAAAAAAAAUGGUCUUGCAUUAGACUCUGCCACAAACAUUGAUGUCUCUGCUGUGGAGCAUUCCCUUACUGGAGAGAGCAGUGUGUCACAAAUAUGGCCGUGGGAGGUUCAUGGCAGUGGUAUGUCAAUUUCAGUAUACUUAACUGCAGAAUUUAUUUACAGUUCUGCUAUAUAG
ensembl:lncRNA